rnacentral:rRNA from 1 species
GCCAUCACAUGUAGAAGUCUGACGGAGCACGCCGCGUGAGUGAUGAAGGUUUUCGGAUCGUAAAGCUCUGUUGUUAGGGAAGAACAAGUACCGUUCGAAUAGGGCGGUACCUUGACGGUACCUAACCAGAAAGCCACGGCUAACUACGUGCCAGCAGCCGCGGUAAUACGUAGGUGGCAAGCGUUGUCCGGAAUUAUUGGGCGUAAAGGGCUCGCAGGCGGUUUCUUAAGUCUGAUGUGAAAGCCCCCGGCUCAACCGGGGAGGGUCAUUGGAAACUGGGGAACUUGAGUGCAGAAGAGGAGAGUGGAAUUCCACGUGUAGCGGUGAAAUGCGUAGAGAUGUGGAGGAACACCAGUGGCGAAGGCGACUCUCUGGUCUGUAACUGACGCUGAGGAGCGAAAGCGUGGGGAGCGAACAGGAUUAGAUACCCCGGUAGUCCA